rnacentral:rRNA from 1 species
UACGUAGGGUGCGAGCGUUAAUCGGAAUCACUGGGCUUACAGGGUGCGUAGGCGGCUCAACAAGUCAGGUGUGAAAGCCCCCGGCUCAACCGGGGAACUGCGCUUGAAACUGUUAGGCUCGAGUCAGCUAGAGGUACACGGAACUUCCAGUGGAGCGGUGAAAUGUGUUGAUAUUGGAAGGAACACCGGAGGCGAAAGCGGUGUACUGGGGCUGGUCUGACGCUGAGGCACGAAAGCCAGGGGAGCGAACGGG